AGAAGUUUACAUACACUUAGGUUGGAGUCAUUAAAACUUGUUUUUCAACCACUCCACACAUUUCUUAUUAACGAACUAUAGUUUUGGCAACUCAGUUUUAUUAAUGAACUAUAGUUUUGUCGUUAGGACAUCUACAUGACACCCAGUAAUUUUUCCAACAAAAAAAGACAGAUUAUUUCACUGCUAAUUCACUGUAUCACAAUUCCAGUGGGUCAGAAGUUUACAUACACUAAGUUGACUGUGCCUUUAAACAGCUUGGAAAAUUCCAGGAAAUUAUGUCAUUGCUUUAGAAGCUUCUGAUAUGUAAAAGGAAGCAGAACAGAAACGGGAUACUCUUUGGUUGACUGAUGUAGCUGGCAAGGUAACUGCUGUUUAACAUAAUUUUUUUUUAAGUGUUUUUUCGCAGUGUUGAGCUAGUAUUGUAUCUGACGUGUAACGUUAGCUACUGUUCCAUUCCCUCUCGACUGAGGUGAAUGAAUAAGCCAGGCCAGUGAGUAGCUACCACAGCCAGGUCGUCUCUAGCCUCUAGUUAUCUGUCAGAUAGUAAUAAUAGCCACCUCCAUAUCGCUAUCUGACAGCAGUUAUUUGUGUGGAAUUGUUUUGUUGCGUUUUAGAAGUAAAUGAACUUGGCUUUCGCCAGUUGAUAUACUGUUCCAGAGAGAGCUGGCCAGAAGUUGGCUUACAUGAGCUAUUAUUUUUGCCUCAAUCAAACUAGACCUGAAUCAAACAAUGAAACCAUCGGCCAAACGAUUGAAUAUUGAUAUUCUGAUGUUUUUUUCAGUGCAAUGUGAGUUAUAUUAGUCAGUUUGGCAAUGUAAUCUUAUUGAUCUGUCAGUUUCCUUAGCUAAUUCCUUACUUUUCACACCGACACAGUAAUAAACAGCUCUAACAUUACAGACUUCACUGUCAUGGUGACCGGUUUCUUAAUCUCGUGCCUGCCAGCACCAGUUGGCUUCCUGUCCGACUCCCACCCGCUACAGCAAGAGCUGAUCCCAAAUCCAACCGCAAGAGCUGAUCCCAAACCCAACCGCAAGAGCUGAUCCCAAACCCAACCGCAAGAACUGAUCCCAAGCCCUACCGCAAGAGCUGAUCCCAAGCCCUACCGCAAGAACUGAUCCCAAGCCCAACCGCAAGAACUGAUCCCAAACCCAACCGCAAGAACUGAUCCCAAACCCAACCGCAAGAACUGAUCCCAAACCCAACCGCAAGAACUGAUCCCAAGCCCAACCGCAAGAACUGAUCCCAAGCCCAACCGCAAGAACUGAUCCCAAGCCCAACCGCAAGAACUGAUCCCAAACCCUACCGCAAGAACUGAUCCCAAGCCCAACCGCAAGAACUGAUCCCAAGCCCAACCGCAAGAACUGAUCCCAAACCCUACCGCAAGAACUGAUCCCAAGCCCAACCGCAAGAACUGAUCCCAAGCCCUACCACAAGAACUGAUCCCAAACCCUACCGCAAGAACUGAUCCCAAGCCCUACCACAAGAACUGAUCCCAAACCCUACCGCAAGAACUGAUCCCAAACCCUACCGCAAGAACUGAUCCCAAACCCUACCGCAAGAACUGAUCCCAAACCCUACCGCAGUCCCGCAAUGUUGUUUUAGGCAUAUGUGGCGGCUCCUGUCCACUAGCACGCGGUAAAUUGCAGCGUGCCGCUUAGGUCGCCCAGAGUGGCUCGCUUGUGGGCGUGCUGGCAGCAUAUAGCAACACGUUUGAUUGUGCGUCAAGAAUUCCGCAUAGCAAGUGUGUAUGAAGGUCUGGUUAUUGAAUGGGUAAAUAGAUUAAUCCAUUCUCCAUUUCAUGAAUGUAUUCACAGGUAAAUAGUAAUUUGCUUUAAAACGCUCUGGUGACAGGCAAACUUUGCUGCCCUUUUUCCAAUCGUCCACAUGGCUGGGAGAACCUAUUCAACUAAGUAAACACAUUUAGAAAAUGUAAAGGAAAAAAACGAUGUAUUAUUAGCUAAUUAGCUACAGUGCAGGCUAACUCAAAUGUGCUGUAAACGUAGCUAGAUAGAUAAUCUAGCCAAAUGUACAGAUUUUAUAGAUAGCUAGCUAAGUCAAUUAAAUCAUCACCAGCUACCUAACUUCAUAUUAGCUAUCUUGAUUAGCCAGCUAUCUUGAUGUAUUUAUCACUGUAAAAAACAAACUCCAAAUGCAUUUGUAGGGAGCUAGCUAACAACCAUGGUGGAGGGUGAAAGGAUAGCAGCCCCAGCUGUCAGUGAGAGAGGAGGCUAUUCUGGAUAGGGCAGGUACUUUUGUAGUUCCAGUCCCUAGAAGUCAGGACAGAGAUAAUAGUAACAUAAUAUUCAGUGUGGUGUAUUUUGACUAUAAUGAAGUCUGUUUCUUGUGAGGUUUUUCUGUCCUCAGAAAAAUAGAGCUGUAAAAUCCUAUCUACAUAUGAAGAGGUCCCAAUGAAGAGCAGUGGUUCUCAGUCCUGGGGACUCAAAGAGGGGCACAUUGUUGUUUUUUCCUCAGUACUGCACAGCUGAUUCAAAUGAUCAACUCAUCAUCAAGCUUCAAGUGAUACCUUGUAACUGGGGAUACCUUCAAAACAAUUGCCUACAUUUACCAUGUAGGGCACAACAAGGUUGGGUGACCAGGGCCAUCUGGGACUGCCUCCUGGAGUGAUUCAGGCGUGUGAAGGCUACCUGUGUCCUGCAUAACUUCAUGAGGAUGGACACGAGGACCAGGAUGGGAUAAGAUUCCUGUUGAACACUGUACAUUUAACUUCCUUAUUUUCUCAAUAACAGUCUCUCCCCUUUUCCCUAAAUCCUCUAGGUUAUAUCAGCUGUGUCGAUGAACCCCUCCCGCAUCUGAACUGGCUAGAGGGCACAGCAUGAUCAGAGGUAUGUUUUGACGUGAGAGAGGAUGCCAACCCCCAGUCCUCGCCACCUCACCUGCUAUUAAGAUAAACUUCGGUCCGACUGGGAGCCCAAGGCUGGCUAGGAGACACAACUAGAGAAACUAUUAUAUAAUUGUGAUGAACUGAGAGAAUAUUAGGGUAGCACUGCGAUUCAUUAAUCAUAUGCUGUCUUCCCUGCUCUUACCUCUUUUACACCUCUCGCCACCUCUUCUUUCUUCCUCUGUUGUUAAAAUGAACACCAGAUGAGCAUUGAAGUACAGAUUGAACUUGUAUUUAUAAUAUUUAUAAUGCAUGUAUUAUGUAUUUAUAACCCCUUGGAUAAUGAACUUCUUUCAAUAAAGCGUUUCACAU